GCUUGCUGCUUCGCUGACGAGUGGCGGACGGUGUGUAGUAAUGUCUGGGAAACUGCCUGAUGGAGGGGGAUAACUACUGGAAACGGUAGCUAAUACCGCAUAACGUCGCAAGACCAAAGAGGGGGACCUUCGGGCCUCUUGCCAUCGGAUGUGCCCAGAUGGGAUUAGCUUGUUGGUGGGGUAACGGCUCACCAAGGCGACGAUCCCUAGCUGGUCUGAGAGGAUGACCAGCCACACUGGAACUGAGACACGGUCCAGACUCCUACGGGAGGCAGCAGUGGGGAAUAUUGCACAAUGGGCGCAAGCCUGAUGCAGCCAUGCCGCGUGUAUGAAGAAGGCCUUCGGGUUGUAAAGUACUUUCAGCGGGGAGGAAGGGAGUAAAGUUAAUACCUUUACUCAUUGACGUUACCCGCAGAAGAAGCACCGGCUAACUCCGUGCCAGCAGCCGCGGUAAUACGGAGGGUGCAAGCGUUAAUCGGAAUUACUGGGCGUAAAGCGCACGCAGGCGGUUUGUUAAGUCAGAUGUGAAAUCCCCGGGCUCAACCUGGGAAACUGCAUCUGAUACUGGCAAGCUUGAGUCUCGUAGAGGGGGGUAGAAUUCCAGGUGUAGCGGUGAAAUGCGUAGAGAUCUGGAGGAAUACCGGUGGCGAAGGCGGCCCCCU
rnacentral:rRNA from 1 species